rnacentral:lncRNA from 1 species
AUAUCAAAAUCUAACAUGCUUUGACUUUUAAUAAAUGCCAUUAAUUACUCACCGAAUAAGUAGAAGAAAAUGUAGGCUUGCAAGUUAAAAUCAAAGUUAGAUCCAAAAACAAGAAGUUAAAUUUUCAUUGCAUGUUACGGAGUCGUAGGCAUACGUGUAUUCUAUCGGUUGAGUCUAAUAUUACUAGAGUAUGUUUGUUAAAGAUUUAUCUGGUUUAUAAGUUGAUCAUUCGUGAUUAUUUUUAGGAACAUAUGAUCUAAGAUCUACAGAUUUUAUCAUCCGCAACUUAUAAUCUACAAAGAAUUUUACCAAACAUAAACUAAGAUGAGUAUGUUUACACAUAUACCGUAUUAAGGCCAGCCAGAAUCGUGUUGAGAGUGGGUCGAGAUUCAAGUAACCGGUGGAGGUUUUUGGUGACAAUAAACCCGAGAUCAAACGGCGGCGCGGUGGGCGGGACCAUGCGGAGAGUGUACUCGACAGCCAUGAAGAACAGCAACGAGGCGGCGAAGACGCAGGGUACGGGGUGGUGCACCACCACACCACAUAUGUCACCGGCCCUCCAUUUCAAGAAAUGUGCAUUACCAAGGCAAGAACAAAAGUUUUUAGCAGAGGAACAUGAUGAUUUCUUCAUAUCUGAAGAAUGUUUGUGCUUUGUGACGACGCCGUUAGGAGAAUGACUCUUUAUGGACAGUGGUUUUGGCUUAUUUUUAAGAGCGGGCCGGUGGCGGGUGGUGGGUCUGUUCAUCGGUGAUGGUGGUGGUGCAAAAUACCAGCAUGGAGAAUGGUGCAUAUAAGGGGUGUGGGAGAGAUUUGAAAAGACGGAGUUUACGAGGAGACGGUGGUGGGGUACGUGGAUUGAAUGUUGUGGUCGGCGGAAUGGAAAAUGUUGGGUAGGUGACGGGGGGAUCCUAACUAUAAUUAAGGUUUUCAACCCUUAAAUUUUGAUGGUUUGGAAGAAACUCCCUACUUUAUGGUUAAAUUUCUUGUUUUUCAAUUUUGAACUUUUAAUUGGAUAAUUAAACUCUGAUUUGGCUACAUUUUAAUAAAGUUUUGGGGAAAAUGUGUCUUGCAAUAGUUUUUUUUUUUAAAUGUGUAGUUAAAAAUUGAGCACAAACAUUGGCUCAUGUAAAUUCAAGGAGUUCCAAAUUUUACCACUUUAUCAUCAAUUGUAACCAAUUUGAUAAAAAUUGCUUAGUCAAAAGUCAAGGAAUAAUUGCAGUAGCAGUUCCAAACCUUUCGACUUUUUGUAUACUUUAUCUUAACCUUCACUUUAUACUACUCACAAUUCCAAACUCUUAAAAAAAUUUGCACUUUGGGGUCCAAAUGGAUGAUUUUAUGUAAGUUUGACCGUUAGUUAACCUAAUAAAUUUGACUUUGACCAAAUCUAAACCAUUUUUAAUGGGUAAAAUCGUAACUUUGCAUUUUAAAAAUUAAAAUGAAAGCCCAUCAUCUUUCCUAUGCCCACACCAACCCCACUCACCCAUCCCACCCCACCCCUCCCAAUAAAAAAAAAAAAAAUGUGCUCUCACCCAAACCAACCAGCCAUCAUAAGCCCGUGGAAAGGACUUCAAUAGACCCAAAGCGGUUGUCAAUAAUCCAAAUCAAGGGAAAAUUGCAACUUUUCAAUUUCGAUUUUGACAUAACAAUGGCAAAAGAUGAGGUAAUUUCACCUAAUCUAUCACUAAUUUCUUUUAUCUAAUCUCAAAAUUUCUACAAUUUUUUACUGUGGUGGCAAUAGCUAGCCAAGGUACGUCUAUUUUUCUCAAAGUUUCAACUGUCAUUUUGAUGAUGUUGAUGGGGUUUCGAGAUGUGUUGAUGGGCGGCUGAAGGCUGGAGAAUGGUGGUGGAUUUCGACUGUGGAUGAAAGGCAAGGGAAUGGUGGUGAUUUUGGAUUAUGGUUUUGAGCGAUGGCUGAAAGUAGGGAAAUGGCGGUGGCUUUGGACGAUGGUUGAAAGCAGAGGAUGAGAGGAACCAAAAAGCUUUAUUUUUUCUCAGCAAAAGCAAAAUUGACUUAGACUAAGUAAUAUGAGAAAUGGAUUGGUUGGGGUGUGAGGAAGAGGAGGAAAGAACUAGGGAGGACAUAUUAGCAAGAAAAGUAAAAAUCAGUGGAGAAGGGCAACGGAGGUGGUGGUGGUGGGGAGGGGUAAAAGGGAACCAACUGGUUUUGGGUUUAAGAGGAGAUGGGGUGUCGGAGGGAGAAGAUGAGCAUUGAUUGAAUUUUGAUUUUUUUUACUUCAAAGUUAAUUUUGAUUUAUUUAUUUUUAUUUUUACUUCAAAGUUACCAUUUUAAAAUUGGUCAAAGUCAAAUUUAUUUGGUCAACUAAUGAUCAAACUAACAAAAAUUCAACUAUUUAGAACAUAGGUGCUAAUUUUUCAAAGGUUUGGGUUGUGGGUGGGACAAUGUGAAGGUUAAGGUAAAGUUUGUGAAAAAUCGAAAUAUCUGGGACAGUUGUUGCAAUUAUCCCUAUAAUUAAUGACCCUAUGUAAUUGUUAUGUGGCCAUUUAGAGAAAAAAAAUAUGUAAAAUGAGUGAUUAUGAUAUCUUUAGGUUAAAAUUUGUAUUUUUUGUUUCAAACAUAUUUAUAAUAUGGAGUAAUAGUUAAUUGACAAACCAAUAGUAAUAGCAAUAUGGCUUCCAAUUAAGCAAAUUUCAUCAAUUUGGAGAUUGUAAGUCAUGAAACACUGAAAAUUGAAAUUAAAUUAAAGUUUGGUUACCCUUUAUAAACUAAAUUGAAGAGUAAUGACCCAAUUGAAAUAAAUUUUAAAGGAGUUGCCUAACUGAUGAAACUAGGUUUAAGUACGAAAUUAUGGUUUUAUUUUUAAUUUGAAAAAUGAUUGCUGUAUAUCACGAUUUAUAUAUUCUUUUACGGAUUGGUGAGGUGGCAAAAAGAGCUUUUUGAGUUGGUUGAUAAAAUUUUGAUCAAUCAUGUAUCGUCACAAUUGACAUCAUAUAUUAAUAAAUAAAUCUAUAAGUGGUGAAGAACUUAUAACACAAUUUAUGUUUUAACCCCAAAUUAUUAGCAAUUUGAAUCAAAUUUCCUUUAGAGGGUAAAUUUUCAUUCGUGGUCUUUGGACUUUUAGAAAAAUCUCAAUAUGGUUAUUAAACUUAAUUUGUCUGAAGUCAAGUUAUUUCAAAUUUCACUGCUUUGUCAUAAUUUAUCAUCUAUUGUUCUAUAAAAUGAUAGAAUUGCUUCUGAUUUAUACAGUGAAUGAUCUUUUGCCUAAUCGCUACACGACAUUUUAAAAACAAAAAUAGUAAAGCGAGGGCUAUGACAAGGUCUGAUAAGAGUGUAAAAUAUAAUAUUUUCUCAUCUUAAUUAUUGCAUUGGUUUGAUUAUUUGAUACCAAAAUGCACUCAUUAUACUUAUACUUUGAUUCAGGUUGCAUUUUGGUAGAAAAUGUGAAAUUUAGAAGAGAAGAGCGAAAAAUGACUAAAAUGGAAGAAAGUGAAAGUUUCAGUGACCAAGUUGCAAAUAAUCUAAAGAUGAGAUGGGCGAUGGAAUGAUAAUUCGAGAAAGUUAGGAGUCCAUUGGGUGCAAUUAGAAGUCAAAAGAAGUUAAAUAUUAUCAUAACAUAUUCACAAAUCAAAUUCCAACAUGAUAAAGAUUUUCCAAUUUUUUAGCUGGAGAUUGAAGUCCACUUUUGACCAAGUAAACGUCAGAAUUUGGAAGCAAAAAUUGUAGCCCUUUGUGUUAGUUUUCUAACCACUUUGAAUUGUCUUAAUUGGACAUCGGGAAAGAAAGUUAUGGUCAAAAUACUAAAAGUAGUCGCACAGAAUAUUCUAGCCGAAAAUUUAGUUUCCUUAUUCGAUUCAAUAUUUUUUGGAAACAACUUGGCACACGGUUUUAAGCCCUAGACUGGACAAAGAAUGCCUCUCUUCAUCCUCACAUCAAUUUUCUUUAAUUUUUUGCUCAAGAGUUCCAUGAAGAACUAAAACCCUUGGUGAAGUUUAGAAGGAACUCAUUGGAUUUGGGGAAAUCACAUCAAUUGCUCAUGUAAUUUGGUAUUUUAUUGUCAAACAAUUCUAGAUUUUAGAUUUCUCCUUAUGAAUUGAUUUUGAAAUUGGUUUAAUUUUUAUUAGAUCUUUCAUAGAUUCAAUCAUAUUUUUUCUAUUGUUUGAUCGAAAUAUUUAUUGAGUUACAUUCUCAUUCAUGUUAUUGGUAGAUUAUUUAUGAUCUUAUGGUUGAAGUACAUGGUUACUUUUGAUCUUACUCCAAUAACAAUUGUUGGAAUGUGUUAGAAAGUCUAAAUCUUAGAAUUACAAUUGGAACUAAAGUGAUCUUAACUGUUAAAUCUUCCGAUUAGAGAGUUGGGAUGAAAACCUCUAAUUGAGUAACAUUACAUGAAUUGUUGAUGUUGAUCGAUCCAACCCAAUUGAGAGAAUUCCAAUGAUUCACUAAUUUCACAUAUUGAUAUUUAAAUUUCAUUCCAAAUUGAUAAACUAAUUUCACAUAAUUCUUGAAACCGCUAAGUUUCUGAUCCUUUGAGUAUUUCCCAUCUCCCUGUGGAAUCGACACCCUAAGGCUACUACAAUCACCAUAUCAUACUUUGGGCAUAAUCAAAUUUUGGCGUUGUUGCCAAGGAGACAGUACAAAUACUUGAAGGAUUCUCGGACAAAAUGGUGAUUUCAUCCCUUUUUACAUUCUUUUAGUUAGUUUAGUUUAUUUUCUUAAUUAUUUUGUUGUUUCUCAUUUAGUUUCCUUUUUUUUUUUUGGUUUUAUGAACAGGCUUCGAGACGAGCAAGGACGAUUUAUUGCAAGGCCUCAACUAGUGUUUAAAUCUCUUCCUAACCCUCUCUUUGAUACUGAAUCUAUUGUCAUGAAGACCGCAUCAAAUAACAUAAUGUCUGAUAGUGAACAUGGUGAUGCGCCCUAUAGGACCUUGCAUGAUUAUCUUCACCCUACACGCAUAUCUACACCAUCAUGCAUUAUAUUUCUACCCAAUAUGCCACGUAUGGACCUUAAACCUGGAAUGAUCCAACUUUUUUCGACCUUUCACGAUCUUGAAAAUGAAAACUCAUACGUGCAUAUUAGGGAAUUUGAAGAGGUGGUUGUAAGUUUCCACAAUCAACGUGGAACAAUGGAUGUAGUCAGGCUUAAAUUUUUCUUGUUUUCUCUAAAAGAAAGAGCAAAGAGCUGGCUGUAUUCAUUGCAACCACGUUUGAUUGGGACUUGGGCUGAAAUAGCUCAAAUAUUCUUUGGCAAGUACUUUCCCCAUCACAAAACAACUGCAUUGAAAAAACAAAUCUCUUCUUUUACUUAAAAGGAGAGUAAAACUUUAUAUCAAAUGUUGGAAAGGUACAAAGAAUUGUAAGCCCUCUGCUCCCACCACGAUUAUGAAAGUUGACGCAUUUUGAGUUAUUUUUAUUAGGGGUUAUUACCUAGGGAGUAUCAAUUUGUUGAAGCGAUGUGUAAUGGUGAAUUUUUGCAAAAAGAUCCGAAUGAGGCAAUAGACUACUUAGAUGACUUAGUUGAGAAAGCCCAUACCUGGAUUGGACCUAGUGCAUCGAGAGUACUAAUAGGUUACAACCCACUAGAAACUUGAAUAGUACAGGUAUUUAUCAUCUUAGGGAGGAAGAUAACCUUAGAGGAAAGGUAUAAGCCCUUACUAGAGAACUUGAAAACCUGUAUGCUAAGGAUUCAAAAACUACUCGAUUUGUUUCCCGUGUUGAGUAUUUAGAGCCUUGUUUUGUGUCUGGAGGGAGUGAUCACCUUGCAAAGGAGUGUCCCACUUAUGCUGAAAUGAGGGAACUUUAUGAGGAACAUUGUAAUGCUCUAGGCAUCAAAAGCCCUCUGUCCCUUACCUCGAGACUUACAACCCAGGGUGGCGAAAUCACCAUAACUUUAACUGGAAGUCUGAAAACCAACAACCUAUCCAAUCCAAUAGAGCUUACAAUGCACCCCCACGUCAACCCACAUCCUCUGGAAAUUCCUUAGAAGAUACUUUACAUUCAUUUAUUGAGACACGGGGUAAAACAAAUAAAAAAAUUUGAGACUAUGAUUGACCAGUUAGUUGGGGAAAAUAAAGAGAUAAAGAAUCAUGUCUCCAAACUAACCAAUGCCUUAGCUGUUGGGAAACGUGAGAAAUUUCCAGCUCAAGCUCAACCAAAUCCAAAGGUAGAACACAUGGCACAAAUUUCGGGAUCGGGAGAGACCAGCAUUAAGGAAGUAAAUACCAUAACCACUAGAUCUGGGAAAGUCAUUGAACCAGCCAUUCAAUCUAGGGAGAAUGAAAAAGAAUCAAGCGAGCCUAAUGAGAGUAGCCCCAGUGAAGAAGUAGUAGAAGCUCCAAUUAGGGUACCUUUCCCUCAAGCCCUCAAAUCUACCUCGAAGUCAACCACUCAACAUAAUGAAAUCCUAGAGUAUCUUAAACAAGUAAAAAUUAAUUUGCCUAUUUUACAUGUGAUCUCUCAAGUUUCUACAUAUGCUAAAGUCCUUAAAGACUUAUCCACUGUGAAGAGGAAACAUCAUGUCAAGAAAACCACUUUCUUUACCGAACAGGUGAGUACUGUGACAGAGCAGAGGAUCCCACCAAAGAAUAAGGACCCUUGUUGUCCUACCAUCUCUUGUGUCAUUGGGAACCGUGAGUUUACAGAAGCCCUUCUUGAUUUAGAAGCUAAUGUUAACCUCAUGCCUUAUGCUAUAUACCUGUUGUAAGGUGUGGGAGAGAUGAAACCUACCUCAGUGGUCCUUCAGUUAGCUGACAAGUCUACCAUAAGACCUAGGAGAGUAGUUGAGGAUAUGCUAGUUUAGAUUGAAAAAUUUUACUACCCCAUUAAUUUCUUAGUACUAGAUGUGAAGGUUGAGGUAAAUGUUGACUCUAAAAUCCCGAUUAUACUUGGUAGACCUUUCUUUGCUACAGCUAAUGCUCUAAUCAAUUGCAGGAAUAGUCCGAUGAAGCUUUCUUUUGGGAAUAUGACUCUAGAACUUAAUAUUUUUCAUGUUACCAAGCAACCUAGAGAAGAAGAUGAAUUUCAUCAAACCUACACGAUUGAUGCAUAAACGCAGGAGGAAGCAUCUGCAAAAAUUGAUUAUGAUCCAUUGAACUCUUUUCUCCUAAACUCUAAAAUCUCAAUUGGUUCUGAUAUUGAUGAAUAUACUAAUAUUUGUGCUAUUUUUGCAAAAUUACAGGAGCAUAGGACUUUGUCAUGGCAACCCAAGUUUGAAGAAUUGCUCGAAAGGACUGGAGGGCAAAAACCAUCGAGCAUUGAGAGCCCUAAGCCAGAAUUGAAACAACUACCCCCAGGACUGAAACAUGUAUUCGUUGGACUAGGUGAUACCUUUCAUGUAAUUAUUUCUUCAGAAUUGAAUGCUUUGCAAUGUGAACAGCUUUUGAGCAUUUUGAAUGAGUAUAAAUAUGGCCCAAUUGCAAAUAGUAAAUGGGUUAGUCCUACACAGGUGGUCCCUAAGAAGUCAGGUGUCAUGGCAGUUAAAAAUGAAGUAGGUGAAUUGGUCUCCACAAAAAUAGUAAAUGGUUGACGCAUGUGUAUUGAUUACAGGAAGUUAAAUGCUGCUACUCAUAAGGACCAUUUCCCUCUCCUUUUUCUGGACCAAAUACUCAAACGCUAGUCAUUCCUUUUAUUGCUUCCUAGAUGGAUACUUUAUUUACCUUCCGAUAUUGUCUUAAGACAUGUUAUUUCUUUAAAAAGGAUAGAGGUUGAUAAAUCUAAGAUUGAAUUGAUUUCUAAACUACCCACACCUAAGAUAGUAAAGGACAUUAGUUCAUUUCUUGGUUAUACAGGUCUUUAUGGGAGGUUUAUACAAAAUUUCUCAUCUAUAUCUAAACCCAUAUGUAACUUGCUUAACAAACAUGUGACUUUUGAAUGGACGCCUGAUUGUCAAAAUGCUUUUGAACUGUUGAUUGGUAGACUGACCUCCACACCUAUAAUGGAACCACCUGAUUGGACAUUGUCAUUUGAAAUUAUGUGUGAUGCUAGUGAUUUUACGGUAGGUGCUAUUCUUGGGCAACGAAAGGAAGGUAAGCCUUUUGUGAUUUAUUCGCUAGUAGGACUCUAAAUAGUGCUCAAAUGAACUAUUUCACUACUAAAAAAGAGUUGCCAGCUAUAGUCUUUGCACUCGAUAAAUUUCGAUCCUAUUUGAUUGGUUCUCCCAUUACUAUUUUCACAAAUCAUCCAGCCCUUAAGUAUCUUCUUGCAAAGAAGGAUGCUAAUGCACGAUUAAUACGAUGGAUUCUACUUUUGCAAGAAUUUGACAUCACCAUCAAGGACAAGAAGGGAGUGAAAAAUGUCGUAGCAGAUCAUCUACCAAGACUGACAUUUGAAGACACCUCAAACACUGUGCCAACUAAAGAUCGAUUUCCUGAUGAGAAUCUAUUCUCUGUCUCUUUACCCUAGUUUGCUAACGUUGUAAAUUACUUGGCUGCAAGUGAAAUUCCAAAAGAGUGGAGCGCACAAGAUAAGAGGAAGUUUUUAGUUGAGGUACGUAACUUUUAUUUGGAUGACCCUUGUUUAUUUAAGUAUUGCCCAGACCAAAUCUUGAGACGUUGUGUUCCUAAUGAGGAGAUACCUAGUAUACUAGAUUGUUGUUAUACCCAAGCUUGUGAAGGCCACUUUUCUAUGAAAAAGACCACUGCAAUGUGGUUUUUAUUGGUAUACUUUGUUUAAAAUACUGAUACUUAUUGUAGAUCUUGUGAGAAGUUCCAAAAAUUAGGUGCUACUUCCCGACGUAAUAUGAUGCCUUUAAAUCCCCUUUCGAUAAUUGAAGUGUUUGAUUGUCGGGGCAUCGACUUUAUGGGACCCUUUCUAUCUUUUUUUGGCUACUUUUAUAUCAUUGUGGCAGUUGAUUAUGUGUAUAAAUGGGAAGAAGCAGCUACUUUUAGGGCCAAUGACAAUGAAACGAUCGUUAAGUUCCUUAAAGAAAAUGUUUUAUCUCAGUUUGGCACACUACGCGUCAUUAUUAGUGAUAGAGGUACACACUUUUACAAUUAUUCAUUUGAGGCACUGAUGAAAAAGUAUGUGGUUAUUCACAAAAUUUCCACCGCUUAUCACCCCCAAACUAGUGGACAGGUAGAGUUGGCCAAUAGGGAGAUUAAACAAAUUUUAGAGAAGACAAUGAACCCCAAUCGUAAAGAUUGGUCAUUGAGACUACAUGAUGCACUAUGGGCCUACCCCACAGCUUUUAAGACUUCCUUAAGCAUGUCACCUUAUAGGCUUAUCUUUGGGAAGCCUUGUCACUUACCUGUCGAACUUGAGUACCGAUCCCUUUGGUCUAUCAAGCAGUUCAACUUUGAUCUGGUAGAGGGAGGUAAACAUAGGAAAUUUCAAUUGAGUGAAUUGGAGGAACUAAGAAAUGAUGCCUACGAAAGUUCUAGAAUCUACAAGUUGAAAAUGAAAGCAUUUUAGGAUAAAAAUAUUUUUAGAAAAACUUUUGAACCGAACCAAAAAGUGUACUUGUAUGAUUCUAGACUUCAUAAGCAUCCAAGAAAACUCCGUUCUAGGUGGAUUGACCCAUUUGUGGUGACACGAGUUUUUGAAAAUAGGGCUGUUGAAAUAAAAGAUCCCAAUGAUGGUAGGGUAUUCAAGGUGAAUAGACAGAGACAAAUAGCCUAUGGACAACAGGUGCCUACAGUGGAAGAAAUUUCCUUGGUGGACCCAGUUUACUACUCAUGACACCCUUCAGGUAUGUCUUUCACCCUUUUUGUAUACUAGUUUUUGAAUUUUUUUCUUUUAGGUGUGCUUCGCAUUUUUCUUUCAAUUUAUUUUCAUUUUUUGUAUGACCCAUUUUCAUUGAGAACCUUCAGGUCCACCAUAGUCAAGCUUCUGAUGAUCCACUGCAAUAUCCAGGUAACAUCAUUUGGUUGACAUGUUUUUGUAUUGAGGACAAUGCAAUGUUUAGUUGGGGGAGAGUGUAUUUGAAAUUUUCUAGUGAAUUACAUGAUAUUCAUGGAACGUUAGUUUUGUUUUACUAAAUUGGUCUAAAAUUUUUCUUUAAGUCUUUAUUUGCUACAUGUUCAUGUUCUUGAAUGACGAAAUAUGCCACUAGAAGUUGAUACUGUUUGUGUGAGUCUAGAUGUUGAGACACUUGCCGAAUCAUUUUGUGCACAUAAACCUUGCGGUAAGAUAGUGGUUUAACAUAUGCAGUUAGAAGAGUCUCUUGCUGAAGUUUUCUUGUGAGAGAAUUGGUGAGGGUUGAGAGUCAUAUAUACUAAAAAUGGUAAUACACAUUCAUUGAUUUUGUGAAUUGGAAACUUCUUUUUAGAAUAACAUUACAUGGUAUGUGGUAAGACGGUGGAUUAUACUUGGGAAAUGAUAACAGUCAAUUUAGGACUGAAGUUAAGCCUCUACACUAGUUCUUCUCUUCUCAUAAUUUUAAUCUCCUAGUAGCCAUUUUGAGACAAUACACAUAUAACCAUUUUUUUUCAUGCGCCUAUGUUAUUCAUACCUCUUCACAUCGGAAUAAAGUCUAUAAACAUUCAUUUUUCAAACCUUUAUGCUUCCAAGUGUAUAGUAGGUAUUGCAUGUCAUUUUAGAAGAAAAGCAACGAAGAAAAGUGAUGAGAGUUGAUACUUGCUUAGGUGAAGUGAUGAAUCUUAAAAGAAGAAGAAGGGGAAUUUCAAAAAAAAGUUGAUGAAAAAAAGAGAAAAAAAGAAAAAGAAAAAGAAAGUGAAUUGCUAUUGAGAAUUGAAGGGUUGAGGAAUGCAUUGAUGUUGAUAUGUUGAAAUACUUGCUAAGAUGCCUAGCUAGAUACUUGAACCUCCUUAAAUUCUUUCUUCCCUACUAUUCAUGUAAUCCAACUUAACCCUUUUCACACCCUUUGCAUUGGCUGUUUUGAUCUUAAGUAGGGUUGUGGUAAGACGUUGAUGAAUUCUCAGCUGAUAGUGUGCCUAUCAUGUGAUCAAUAUUUUCUUGUUGCUUGGUCAUAAAUUUUAAGCCUCCAUGUUCUGAGAGUAUAUCUUUCUUAGCUCCAUAAAAGAAAACCGCACUAAAGACUUUGAUACCCGCGAGUUAUGGGGUUGUACCUUCAGCUUGAAACAUACUUAUUGUUGCAUGUGUUAGGGUUGGCGGUAAGAUGGUUAUGGCUUGACACACACUCACACAUUUGGUAAGCGUUUUUGAUAUCUUGGUGAUCAUGGCACUGUUAAGUUCUUGUGGGGUUGAGUGUGAAAAGAACAUGAAUUGCGGUUAAGUUGAAAUUCAAUAAUUUCACUUGUAUCACAAUCUAAUCAUUCAUUUGCUUAUUUAGCAUUAAAUUGCUAGGGACUAGCAAUAAUCAAGUUGGGGAGUGUGAUAAGAGUGUAAAAUAUAAUAUUUUCUCCACUUAAUUAUUGCAAUGGUUUGAUUAUUUGACACCAAAAUACACUUAUUAUACUUAUGCUUUAAUUCAUGUUGCAUUUUGAUAGAAAAGGUAAAAUUUGGAAGAAAAGAGCGAAAAAGGACCAAAAUGGAAGAAAGUGAAAGUUUAGGUAUCAAGUUGCAAAUAAUCUAAAGAUGAGAUGGGCGAUGGAAUGAUGAUUCGAGAAAGCUAGAAGUUCAUUGGGUGCAAUUAGAAGUCAAAAGAAGUUAAAUAUGACCAUAACAUAUUCACAAAUCAAAUUUCAACUGCAUAAACAUUUUCCAAAUUUUCAGCCGGAGAUUGAAGUCCACUUUUGACCUAGUAAACGUCAUAAUUUGAAAAAUUUACUUAGUAAAAUUGUAACCCUUUGUGUUAGCUUUCUAACACACUUUGAAUUGUCUUAAUUGGAUAUCGAGAGAGAAAUUUAUGGUCAAAAUACUGAAAGUAGUUGCACAAAAUAUUGUACGUGAAAAUUUAGUUUCCUUAUUCGGUUCAAUCUCUAAUUGAAACAACUUGGCACACAGUUUUAAGCCCUAAACUGGACAAAGAAUGCCUAUCUUCAUCCCCACAUCAAUUUUCUUUGGUUUUUGGCUCAAGAUUUCCAUGAAGAACUAAAAUCAUUGGUGAAGCUUGGAAGGAACUCAUUGGAUUUAGAAAAAUCACAUCAAUUGCUCAUGUAAUUUGGUAUUUUAUUGCCAAACAAUUCUAGAUUUUAGAAUUUCUCCUUAUGAAUUAAUUUUGAAAUUGGUUUAAUUUUUAUUAGAUUUUUCAUAGAUUCAAUCAUGUUUUUCUAUUGUUUGAUCGAAAUAUUUAUUGAGUUGCAAUUUCAUUCAUGUUAUUGGUGGGUUAUUUAUGAUCUUAUGCUUGAAGUAUAUGAUUACUUUUGAUCUUACUCCAAUAGCAAUUGUUGGAAUGUGUUAGAAAGUCUAAAUCUUAGAAUUACAAUUGGAACUAAAGUGAUCUUUACUGUUAAAUCUUUCGAUUAGAGAGUUGGGAUGAAAACCUCUAAUUGAGUAAUAAUACAUGAAUUGUUGAUGUUGAUCGAUCCAACCCAAUUGAGGGAAUUCCAAUGCUUCACUAAUUUCACAUAUUGAUAUUUAAAUUUCAUUCCAAAUUGAUAAACUAGUUUCACAUAAUUCCGGAAAUAGCUAAACUUCUAAUCUUUUGAGCAUUUCCCAUCUCCCUGUGAAAUCAACAUCCCAAGGCUAUACUACAAUCACCGCAUUAUACUUUGGGUGUAAUCAAUAUCUCUAAAUUAAAAUGUUAAAAUAUUUUUUAUUUUAUUUUAAUAGUUUUAUGAUGUGGCGCAUCAAUAAAUUUACAUGCAAAACAAUUAUGCAAAAGAUCACUUUUCGUCCUUGUUUAAGCCUCAUUAUCUAAAAAGUCAUUUUUCUCAAUUUAUUUUCAACCACACAUCUUCUCAAUAAAAUAAUUAUACAUGUAAACCCAAGUUUUUUCAUACUUUUUUUUUAAACAACAUAGUCACCAAAAAAAAAAAAAAAGAAAAUUACCAUUACAAAAUCUAUUUCCGAAAAAAGGUGCUCAAACAUAGCCUUAGUAAAUUUACAUGACUUUUAGUAAAUCGCAUUGUUGAAAAAUUCAACAUUUGAUGUUAAUUGUUACAUCUAGCAAACAUGACAAGGGGAUAUUUAAGAUCUAAUUCAAGACUCUUAAAAAAGUGAUGUUCAUUAUUUUAAAGAGUUUGCUUGAAAUAUACUCCUAACUCUGUAUUUUAAUUUGUUUAUAUACAUUUGAAUAGUCAAAUUCGCUCUCUAUUUAUAUAUCAUAAUUAAAUUUAAUAAAAAUGCAAUUUUUAAAUUUCAUUACUCAAAUUAACUAUAUUACAUAUUAUGUUAAAAUUGAUAUUUAAAAAAUAUAUAUUCUUUGUAAAAUGAGAGAAUAUUAUAAGUGAGUGUUAAGAAAGUAAAUAAAGAGCAUAAAAUAAAGAAUUUAUUGAAAUGCAUAAAGAAAAAUAAUCUUUAAAUUUAAAUUGCUCUUUAUGAUGACAAGAUACGACUUAUUUCUCUCUAUAAAUAAAGAUUAUUUUGAAAAUGCUCCAAGUAGAUUAUUUUUCCUUUCAAUGUCGUAAGAGGAGAAAUGAAAAUUGAAAAUUUGCAUAAUUGGAUCUCAACUACUAAGAAACCACAAUAUUGCCUACAAUCCUGUAUUUUUAAGAAUUUAGUCUUCUUUCUAUUGACACAUCAAACUUUCGACAUCAAUGACAUUCCAUAAUCCAAGAUUAUUCACAAAGUUAUCCUUUAAAUAUUAUUAGCUAAAGCCAUCAAUAUACAAAACUAUCAAUUUUGAUGCCAUUUGGACAAACAUUUUUGUAUUGAAAUAGCACGAACUUCACUCCAUAAUUUCUUUUUUUUUUUUCAUAUCAAAAUACAGAGAUUAUGUGAUCUUCAUCAAAUUUUCAAGUAUGAUGACAUCUACAAACUGAUGUUCGCGAGAAGAAAGAAAAACUACAUACAAACGUGGUACAAGCAGCUACGCAUUGAUCUUGAUACUACACAAACAUGAUAACUACUUCACUAGUGGGCUCUGAAAGCAUCUAACUUCUAUUCACGCGGGUCAUAUUUGUGAAGCAAACCUUGUUUGUUAGUCAUCCAUACAUGAUGUAUGUGGCUGUCAAUAAACUUGUCGACCACCUCCCCGAUGGUGUGAAAAGGCCCAAAUACGAUACUAAACACAAGAUACAAUAGAUCAAUUUCACAACACAAAGUAAAAACUUGCAGAAAUUAAAUCAAGCACAAAGAUUUUUCGGUUGAAAACCCAAAAGUUCAAUGACCCUUUUAACACCUAAUUCUCUUUGAGCAUCCAUUAAAAUGGAUAUAGUUCGGUUGCACUAUUGAGCUUUAAAAUUGACAAAAAAAAACUCACAACAAUAUUCAAAUAUAGUUUUUAGAGACUUACCUCUAUCACCAAAUCAAUGGAACUGCUAGGAAUCACACAAGAAACCCUAGAUCUCUUCUCAGAAAAUACAGCACAGUAACCCUCUCGUUCUUCUUAUUUUCACUCAAGAAAAUAUAAGUACCAAGGCUAGAAAACAUCUAAACAAAUCUCAAAUGAGAUGUUCAAGAGAAAGAAUCAUAGAUCACCCUAGCCAGUGAGAGUUAAACUCUCAUGAACUUUCUCUCACUCAACAACAAUGAAGAAUUUCAUCCAUUUGUCAAAAUGAAUCGGUAUCCAUGAAUACAACCAUACCAAGAGACGCAUUCAAUAUGACGGUCAUGGCUUGAACAGAUGUCAACAUCCGAUUAAGCCUUCCCACUUACAAAAAUGUGUUUUGAUAAUGCAUUUUUCCUUUUGAAAAUUGGGGACAUUAACCAGGGUUUGAAUCUCAACAUUCUCUACCUUGCUACCUUAAUUUUCAGGUCAUAGUACAGCCAAGAGCAUAUCACAUUUUCAUAUUUCACUUGCUCCAAGUACAUGUAAUAAUCACAAAGUAUUAAUAGACAAUAUUUUCAAAGAAUUCUGAAACUUGUUUAGAGGUAUUAUCUUUAUUCCUAUAUCAGAAGGAUUAAACUGAGUAGCAACUUUGCCAAUUUUCAAAAGGAACAAAAUUCCUUUUGAAAUUGUAUCUCUUAUGAAAUAAUAUUUAACGUCUGUGUUUAGUUCUAUCAUAAAACAUGGGGUUCUUACUUAGAUGUAUAGCACUUUGGUUGUCAAAGUACAAAAUUGCAUUCUCAUCAACAAAAUCUAGUUCUUUUAAUAGUCCAUUUAUCCAUAUUCUUUUUUUUAGAGGCAUCAAAAGUAACAAUAUAUAUUCUGUUUCAGUUGAGGAUAGUGCUACAAUCUUUUGAAGUUGUGAUUUCCAAUUGAUUGCAGUAGCACAUAAGUUAAAGAAACAAGAUGAAGUUGAUUUUCUAUUAUCUCUAUUUUCAGUAAAAUCUGAAUCAGUAAAGCCCUUUAAAGUUGCCUCUUCUAUAUUCUUUGAUGUACCUUUCAGAUAUCUUAAGAGCCAUUUUAAAACAUUCUAGUGUUCUUCCCUAAGAUUACUCAUAAAUCUACUAAGUCUACUAAUACUAAAAGUAAGAUCAGGUCUAGUACAUGCCAUCAAAUACAUAACAAAUCCAAUCAUAUUAGCGUAAGGAUUUUUGACAUUCUAUCAAAUUUCUCAUUAGUUUAAGGGAGGAAAUCAGAAGAAGCUUAAAAUGAUUUGUAAGAGGCAAGGUUAUGGAUUUGUAGUCAAACAUAUUAAAUUUGUUCAAAAUUUUAUCCACAUAGUCAUGUUGAUUCAAAAAUAACAUGUCUUUUUCUUCGUUUCCAAAAAUCUGCAUUCCAAGGAUCUUUUUAGCAGCCCCUAAAUAUUUUAUAUCAAACUCAGAUUUUAGUUUUUGUUUGGUGUACCCCAUUUCAGAUUUAUCACAGUUGGCAAGUAGCAUAUCGUCCACACCUCCAUUAUCUUUGUAGUAAAGGCAUAUAUCAUAAUUGCUUCAUUGAAAACCAAGUUUUAAGAAGAAAGUAUCAGAUCUUUUGUACCAUUGCCUUGAAGUUUAUUUUAAAUCAUGCAAAUAUUUAUUUAGGAGGCACACGACAUUUUCAGAGUCACCUUUUAUGAAACCAACAUAUUGUCUCAUAUAGUAUUUUUCAUCUAAAUCACGAUAAAAGGAAUGCAAUUUUCAAGUUCCCACUAAGAUUUAGCAACAAGUACAAAAAUGCAUAUAAUAGUGGUAUGCUUAAAAUAGAGGAGAAAAAUUCAUUAUAGUCUACACCUUCUUUUCAUGUAAAAUCCUUUACCACAAGUCUAGCCUUAUAUCUCACACAUUUAUUUUCCCUUUCUCCUUCUUUUAUUUUGUAAAUUCAUUUACAAUCAAUCAAUUUAUGAUUCUUUGGCCUUUCAACCAAGUCCCCAGGAUUAUUUUAGGAGUGAGGACAUUUCAUCAAUCAUAGCAUCUAUCCAAUUUUUAGCAUAUUUGCUAUUAAUGAAAUCAUUAUCGGAUUUUGGCUCAUUUUAAAUUUUUCUUGGUAUGUAAAUAAUGAAACAAAAUCUCCCAAUCAAAUCUAGCAAGUAAUCUACUAUGUCUUUUCUCCAUAUCUCUUGUUAAUUGAUAUUCAUUUAAGGGAAGAGUUGCAGGAUCAGUUUGAUCAUUAAAACCAGUAACUUGAUUAUUUUCAGUUUCAGUUGUGAUGAUAUUUUCAUUAUGAUCAUUUACAGUUACAAUAGGAACAUAAUUGUUUUUCUCAAUAUGAGCGUCUCCACCUCAAUUUGAACAUUCUUUUCAGUCAAGUUAUUUUACUUUCCUUCUAAGCAUGGCAUGAUAGACUCAUUGAAGAUAACAUAUUUUCUAACAAUUAUCUUAUAACCUUUUUUCAAUUUUAACCCAUAAUUUGUAGCCUUUUACAUUUUCACCAUAAUCCAAGAAAACACAUUUAAGUGAUCUAGGUUCUAAUUUUCUAAUAUUUUGGUGAGCAUAUGCAGCACAACUAAAUAUUUUUAGGUGUGAAUAAUCAACAGGAUUUUUAGACCACACAGAUUCUAGAACAUCAAAGUUCAAAGAACUAGUGAGAGUUCUAUUAACAAGGUCUACAGUAGUUUUUACAUCUUUACCCCAAAAUAAUUUAGGUAAGCUUGAGCUAAAAAAACAUGCAUCUUACCUUUAUUAAUAAGGUUCUAUUAAUUCUCCCAGCUAUGCCAUUUUUUUUAGGGAUAUAGGUAACCAUUCUAUGUCUUAAUAUGUCACAUUCUUUAUAGAAAUUAUUGAAUUUAUAAUUGCAAAAUUCCAAACCAUUAUUAGUUCUCAAAAACUUUAUUUUAUUCUCAGUUUGAUUUUCAAUUUAUGUUUUCCAAUCUUCAAAGAUAAAAAAAAAGUUUCAUCUUUUGAAUUUAACAUGAAAAUUCAGAUUUUCCUUGAGUAAUUAUCAAUGAUUAAAAGAUAAUAUUUAACGACAAAUAGGGUGCACACAGAAGCAGGACCCCCACAAAUCAGUAUGUAAGUAUUCAAGUAUUUGUUUGAAUUUAUGAAUUCCAAGCAAGAAGAGAAGCUUAGCUUGUUUUCACCAAGAUUUAGAUUUCGAAACACUCCUUUAUUUUGUGAACCUUUUAUACUUUCUUGUCAAUAUGGCCAAUUCUUUCAUACCAUAAUUUUGCAAAGGUAAAAUUUUCAGUUAAAGUAGCUGCAGUCAAGCUAAGUAAAGGUUCUGCUUUAUAAAAAUAGAGACCAUGUAUCUUGGGGGUGCUAAUGAUUAAGUCAUUGCCCUUAAGAAUUUUUAUAUGUUCUUGGCCCAAUUUAAUGUUGAACUCUAUAUCAUCUAACAUUCCUAGAGACACCAGAUUCCUUUCUAAGUCUGGAAUAAACUUAGUUCCUUUUAAAAAUAGGAUUCUACCAUUUUCAAAUAACAGUUUUAUGGUUCCUAUUCCACUCAAUUUGCAGGUCAUAUUAUUACCCAUUAUAACUUGCUCACUAGUUGUCUUUUCAAAUUCGAGAAAACUAUUCUUAUUUGAGCACAUGUAGAAAGAGCACCCUGAGUCAAGGAUCCAAUCAUCAUUUAGCUUCUUUUCAACAUUAACAAGGACUAACCCAUCUUCAGCCUUGUCUUUAUGGCAGACUAAGGUAGCAUUCCCAUCAUCAACUUUCUUUUCUUUUGAUUCAUUUUUCUUUUCAUAACCAUCUUUAAUAAAAUUACCCUGUUUCCCACAGUUGAAACAUUUCUUACCCUUAGCCUUGUUUUUGGAUUUACUUUUAUCACUCCAUUUGUUUUUAUUUUCAUUAAAGGUCUUAGAGUAAUAAUUAGGUUUACCAAAACCCUUUCCUCUCAUCAAUAAAGUAUCACCAUUGUGAUUCUCCUUAUUCCUUAGGCAUUUAUAAUAACAUCGGUAGCAAGUUCAGCCCUAUCAUAUUCUAAAACAACCUUGAUGUCUGUAUAUCUGUCAAUAAUGGAGUUCAACACUAAUAUUUUCCAUUUUCUCAAUAGCCUUAAUCUUAUUGAGGUGGAAUAUUGAUACAAUAGCCUUAAUCUUAUUGAGCAGUGGUCUUCCCAAGAUGGCAUUGUAGGUCAUCGAAGCAUGAACUACCUAGAAAGAUGUGAUCUCUAUCACCUAUUUUUUAUCAGAACCCGAGGUUAGAAAAAGCUUGACGGCCCCUGCGGGAUGAUUACACUACCAUCGAAUCCCCAAAGGUUAGAUUGAAUUUUUAUCGUAGACUCAAAUAUAUUGCCUUUUCUGGUUGGUCCUUUUAUAUUCUUCGAAUUAAAUAUUUUCUCCAUAUUAAUGUAUUUUUCACCUCAGGUUAGGAACUCAAUCACUUACUUUGGUAGAUUCUUUGACAAGGACAUUUUGAAUGUCUCACUCCUUAUGACAUAUGUGAGGGCAAAAACAACUGCUAUAAUAUGUAGGUUAGGUAUUUGGAGCCUUUCUUUAUUGAAUCUCAUCAUAAAAUCAUGUAUGGUUAUAUUUUGUCCUUAGCGAAGCUGCAUGAGGCAAGCUAUCAUUUUCCUGAUGCGUUUACUAUUUGUAAAGAAGGCAAAGAACUUAUUGGUUAAAUCUAAGAAUAAGACUAUGGAAUUGGGCUCUAAGGUCGAGAACCAAUCCUUGGCAGCAUUAGUCAAAGCUUGAGGAAAAGUCUUACACAUCACCUAGUCCGAUAUAACUUGCAAAUUCAUGAUGUUAGUCUACACAUUGAGAUAGUUGAUUGGGUCAAUUGUCCUAACAUGCGCGAGGAUACUUGAAUCUAUUCGGUAAUAGGUAUAACAAUGUCUCGAAAAUGAAUGGAGUUAAACAUGUUCAUCCCUUAGUAUUCUUAAGUAGGCCAUCCAUAAUUCUUUCUUAGUGAUCUUGGCAAGUUUAUUAGACUCCAUAGUUACUGAUCUCGGGGGCUAGGCCACAUGGGGUACAUCUGAGGUUCUAGCUCCAUCGACAUUGGGAACAAGGGUGGAGCCCGAGCUGGAGCAUUGGCCAUAAAACACUCUUCGUGCCCUGGUGUGGGUGAUAGAUGUGAAUUUCUUUGACGUAGCAGUUGAGUUAACAUGACAACAUGUUAAUAGAGCUCUUCAAAGGCUCUAGCGGUAAUAACUAUUGGCUAGGGAUCUAAUAUUUCAGAUGAUUUUUCAACGUGUGUUAACCAUGGCUUUUGGUAGCGUUUCCCACAGUGGGCACCAAUGAUGCUACCAAAAAUCAUAGCUACAUGAACAAGAUCUCUUGGUACUUGAAAAAAAGGCAUCGAGGUGUGUCCUUGUUGUCCCUUUGAUGCUUCAAUUAGAGAGAGAAUUAUGAUUGAGAUUAUGACCGAUAAUUAUGCAAAAGCAUACCUGAAUAAUGAAUUGAACGUCUAUAUUUAUAGAGGUAUGUAGUAUACUCCUAGUAGCACUAAAUUAGUUAAAUAUUAUCAUCUCAAAGAGUCUUACUUGAGAGGGGUGUUGGACUUGUACUAUAAUUGUAGGCCAAUCAUAACUUGAUGGUAACAUAUUUAAGAUGGAGUCUUGCUAAGCAUGUGAGACUUGGGUUGAGGUACUUAGAUAGUGUUAGGAUCCCAGGGACUUAGGAAUCUUUUAGAAGUGAAAUGGUCUCGGGUUUGAUUGAACGAAAGGCUCGAGGACAUCACGUCUUUGCGUAGUUCACAUAACCCAAGGACAUAUCCCAAGGAUGGUGGCCAUAAAAUAUUGUAAUCAUGCAAUAUUCAAUGCUCGAGCAUAUGUUGUACCCAAGGACCACGUCAUAUCUCGAACACGGUGGUAAUGGAAUAGAAUCAUGAAAAAGAUCCUUUCGAAUCGUUGGGAUUGAAAAGCUCAGGACCUACGAACAUUGACCAUAUUGUGGAAUAUUCAUACUUUUCUGUGCUUUAAACUAGUUAUGUUUUCUCAAAAAAAAAUUCACAAAGCUAAACAAAAUUAAUAAAUGAAGAAUAAUUUAUGAUGUGAUGUGAUGUAGGAUUUAAGAUUCAAAACUACUAAGUUAUAAGUUGAAAACAUUCAAUAAUGUAUUUGCUAACAACAAAUUGAAAGAUGAAUCUACUAUAAUAUCAACUUUGAUAUUUCAAUGGUUAAGAAGUAGUACACAUAUAUUUUUUUUAGUGCAAUUUUCACUUCAUCAUUUCAAGAAAAUGCUAUGAAAUAAUAUUAUUGAUUUUUUUUUGGUUAAUAAAUCUAUUAUCCAUUGUGUAAUUACUAGAUCCACGGGUAGCUUUUUCAACAAGACUACCGUCAAAUUUUAGCAUUAAUUGUGCAUUAAAUGCAUACAAAAAGGUAAUUACAAGGUUAAAUUGGACUUUUUGCACAAAAAAAUGACAUUUUUUUGCAAAAAUUUGAUAAAUUGACAAGUUUUUUUCUAUUUUCAUAUUAGUGAAAUCUUUCCAAAAUCAAUUGUUGACUUUAACUUUCAUAAAAAUUUAGAUUUUAAUACCUACCAAUGGGGCUUAAUGUUUUUUACUUCGUACAGUUCUAUGGCAUAUAAUGUUCCCAUGAGGGCACAAGAAAAGGUGGCCUGUGCAUAGUCAAAAUGAUGGCACUACAAGUUGAGAAUAAGCUUCAUCAUAAUUGUAUAGCAUAGGCCAAGCUCUAUUUAUCAAACCUCAAAAUUUCACAUAGGCAAAAUCGAAUUUUUAGAUCGAAGCCUCACAAUCGAACCAAAACACUUGCUGAUGAUUGAACCUAAGAUGAUUGAAUUAUUAACGAGCCAAAAGUAACAUAAAGCACUAAGAGUCCAUUUAAUUGCAAGAAUGGAAUUUGGAUGGAAAAUGACGAAUUUCAAGGAAUUGAAUUGCCUAAAACUUGUUUUAUUGUGAAUUGUCAAUGAAAUAUGUUUAAUUGAUAUAUUUUCCAACUAGAAAAUAUUGAAAUUUUGGUGUUCUUUCAGUUUUGUUUUCCAUGAAAAUUGUCAAUUAUGGAGAUAGAAUUUGUUUAAAUUGUCAAAAAAAAAAAAAACAAAAAGGGCUUGAAAACCAAAACCACCAACGAGAAAACAUUUUCCUCAAAAUGGCGGAAAAAGAUGGAAAAACUAGGAUAUCAACUUUAAUCACGGAUAGAAGAAAUUGACCUUUAACUUUUAAAUUUUCCAAGUAACACUAGUAUCUUCACUAGAUAAAGACCAAAUUUCUGGUUCUUUCCUAACCUAACAACUCACCAUUUCGUUCUUUAUGAGAGUCGUAGAAAGAACCAUAGGUGGUGGCACUAGUGAAUAAUGACGCUUCUCUUUCCUUGCUAUCUUCAUACUUUCCGGCCAGAGAAUCAAAUAGUAUUCCACCACCAAUGCCAACAGCCAGAUCAUUCGUGUAAUGACCCCGUGUACUCAACAAUCUUAUCACUUGUAAAACCUAUUUAAUGUGACGCAUCUGCAGAUAAAACUACAAUAUAAUUAGCAUUAAUUAUCUAUGCAAGGGAAGGCGCAACAGUGUCUGUAAAAAUAUUCUAUUAGCAUUGAGUACUGGAAUUUGUUAUUUAUUAACAACCCAUUUGUCCUAAAGAUGUCGGAUUUUUCAGGACAAUAUCAAUUUUCCAGUAAAGAAACAAACCGGGAGAUGUCGUACAAAAAAUUUCACUUAAUUAUUAUUAUUAUUGUUAUUAUUGUUGUUGUUGUUGUUUUUUAUACUGUAGAAACUAGAAAGUUAAUUUUUGCUUGUUAAAAAGAAAAACUUCAUGUACUCAAUUAUUCUAAAACAAAUUUAUGGAAAUUUACUUUAAACCAGUCAUCCAUAUAGAUCAUAGAAUACAGUUCUCUCGUGGAAUUUCAUAACCAUUAUUACUACGAUUGAAAAUGAAAUAUGCACUUGAAAUAGAUAUAACGUGUCUUAUUUGUGCAUUUUGGUUGCCAAUUUGCUAAUUCAGCCUAUUUCUCAUUGAGAUUCAUAAUCCUCAUAUCUCGAGCCUUAUACAAUUUACUAAUUACCCUAGACGUUGUGUGUUAUAUUUUUAUUCCUUUCCGUCUUCAAACACAACAAUUUCAUAUUUUAAAAUAUCGAAUUUGAAUAUAAAGAUCUUAUGCGACGAGCUUAACCUCGGGCAAUGAUAGCUGUGUGACAUAUCCAAGUAUUCCCCUGCAUGUGAACAUGAACAAAGCUGAGAUCUUUGCCCUCGGUCGACCCUCCAUUAGCCACGUCCAUAGUAUGUACGUGGUUUGCAUUCCUACGAAAACCUACUCGAUCCACAAAACUCAAACAAAUUAUAUAUAUAAUUCCGCAAAAAGAACCAUCUCGAAAAAUAAAUCAAUUUUUAUAAAAUAAAAAAGUAGGUAUGAAAAGUAAAAACUUUAAAUGCACUAUCAUGCCCAUAUCAAAAUCUAACAUGCUUUGACUUUUAAUAAAUGCCAUUAAUUACUCACCAAAUAAGUAGAAGAAAAUGUAGGCUUUCAUGUUAAAAUCAAAGUUAGAUCCGAAAACAAGAAGUUAAAUUUUCAUUUCAUGUUACUGAGUCGUGGGCAUACGUGUAUUUUAUCUGUCGAGUCUAAUAUUAUUAGAGUAUGUUUCUUAAUGAUUUUUCUGGUUUAGAAGUUGAUCAUUCGUGAAUAUUUUUAGGAACAUAUGAUGUAAGAUCUACAGAUUUAUCAUCCACAACUCAUAAUCUACAAAAAUUUUACCAAAAAUAAACUAAGAUGAGUAUGUUUACACAUAUACCGUAUUGAGGCCAGCGAGAAUCGUGUUGAGAGCCGGUCGAGAUUCGAGUAAACGAUGGAGGUUUUUGGUGACAAUAAACCCGAGAUCAAACGGCGGCGCGGUGGGCGGGACCAUGCGGAGAGUGUACUC